rnacentral:rRNA from 1 species
AUAUUGGACAAUGGGGGCAACCCUGAUCCAGCCAUGCCGCGUGAGCGAUGAAGGCCUUAGGGUUGUAAAGCUCUUUCAGUGGGGAAGAUAAUGACUGUACCCACAGAAGAAGCCCCGGCUAACUCCGUGCCAGCAGCCGCGGUAAUACGGAGGGGGCUAGCGUUGUUCGGAAUUACUGGGCGUAAAGCGCACGUAGGCGGACUGGAAAGUCAGGGGUGAAAUCCCGGGGCUCAACCCCGGAACUGCCUUUGAAACUCCCGGUCUUGAGGUCGAGAGAGGUGAGUGGAAUUCCGAGUGUAGAGGUGAAAUUCGUAGAUAUUCGGAGGAACACCAGUGGCGAAGGCGGCUCACUGGCUCGAUACUGACGCUGAGGUGCGAAAGCGUGGGGAGCAAAC